rnacentral:rRNA from 1 species
CCUACGGGUGGCAGCAGUGGGGCAUAUUGCACAAUGGGGGAAACCCUGAUGCAGCGACGCCGCGUGAGUGCAGAAGUAUUUCGGUAUGUAAAGCUCUAUCAUCAGGGAAGAAAAUGACAGUACCUGACCAAGAAUCCCCGUCUAACUACGUUCCAGCAGCCGCGGUAAUACGUAGGGGGCAAGCGUUAUCCGGAUUUACUGGGGGUCAAGGGGGCGUAGGAGGUUAUGUAAGUCUGGAGUUAAAUGCCGGGGCCCAACCCACGGACUUAUUUGGAAACUGUGUAACGGGAGUAUAGCAGGGGCAGGCGGAAUUCGUGGUGGAGCGGUGAAAGGCGUAGAUAUCAGGAGGAACACCGGUGGCGAAGGCGGCCUGCUGGACUGAAACUGACGUUGAGGCUCGAAAGCGUGGGGAGCAAACAGGAUUAGAUACCCCGGUAGUC